rnacentral:misc_RNA from 1 species
GUCCCCCAUACAAAUUAACACCUGAAAAAGAAGUACAAGUUGGCUAUACUCAGAUCCUUUGAAUGACAUUAGUACAUCAUGUAAAUUAUUCAUUCUAGAAGCUUGAGAGUCGAGCCACAUCAAAUACCUCUCAUCUAUAAAAAAAAUAAUAUUUUAGUGGUGAUGUCAAAUAGAGAGUAUCAGAAACCAAUAAUAAAAGCAUAAUAUUGCCUAGGAUCUACUCAACUAGGAUCCCCCAUUUUAAGGAAAAUAAACCUUUGGAUAUGCCAUUAUGUACAAAGAAACAGAAACAAAAGAC